GCGUUGCUGAAGAGUCCCACAAUAGGACAAAACGGCCGUCCAGUGC
rnacentral:hammerhead_ribozyme from 1 species